rnacentral:rRNA from 1 species
GUGGCGGACGGGUGAGUAACGCGUGAGAACCUACCCUUAGGACGGGGACAACAGAUUGAAACUUCUGCUAAUCCCGGAUGAGCCGAAAGGUCAAAGAUUUAUCGCCUAGGGAUGAGCUCGCGUCUGAUUAGCUAGUUGGUAAGGUAAAGGCUUACCAAGGCAACGAUCAGUAGCUGGUCUGAGAGGAUGAUCAGCCACACUGGGACUGAGACACGGCCCAGACUCCUACGGGAGGCAGCAGUGGGGAAUUUUCCGCAAUGGGCGAAAGCCUGACGGAGCAAGACCGCGUGGGGGAGGAAAGCCUUUGGGUUGUAAACCCCUUUUCUCAGGGAAGAAGAAAGUGACGGUACCUGAGGAAUCAGCCUCGGCUAACUCCGUGCCAGCAGCCGCGGUAAUACGGAGGAGGCAAGCGUUAUCCGGAAUGAUUGGGCGUAAAGCGUCCGUAGGUGGCUGUUCAAGUCUGCUGUUAAAUCCAGUAGCUUAACUACUGACAAGCAGUGGAAACUGAAGACUCGAGUGCGGUAGGGGCAGAAGGAAUUCCUGGUGUAGCGGUGAAAUGCGUAGAGAUCAGAAGAACACCGGUGGCGAAAGCGCUCUGCUGGGCCGCAACUGACACUCAGGACGAAAGCUAGGGGAGCGAAUGGGAUUAGAUACCCAGUAGUCCUAGCUGUAAACGAUGGAGACUAGUGUUGCCUGUAUCCACCCCGGCAGUGCCGUAGCUAACGCGUUAAGUCUCCCGCCUGGGGAGUACGCACGCAGUGUGAAACUCAAAGGAAUUGACGGGGGCCCCACAACCGGGGGAUAUGGGGGUUAAUUCAUGCACCCCGAAAACCUUACCAGGGUUUGCAUGUCCGGAACUUGGGGAAACCCAAUGGGCCUUCGGAGCCCGAAACAAGGGGGGCAUGGU